rnacentral:lncRNA from 1 species
CCAAAACGCAGAAGCUCCUGGGGGGAGUGACUCGGGCCUUCCUGCCCUGCCUUCACCCUACAACCCGUUCCGGGGAGACGGUCUGAACCCUGCACCCUACCACAACUCCAGCAUCUUCAAGUGGAAGGAAGUCGGGGUUCUGAGCUCCUUCAGGCAUGCGCACAUGGGAGACAAGGAGGAGGAGACCAGAGCUGUCCCAAGUGUGCAAACAGGAGCCAACACCCACUUCUGAGAGCUGGCCUGUGAUGGGAGGGCUGAGGAUGCAGCUCAGAGUUCCUUUCUUCUCUCGCCCCUCCCUUCCUCCCUUCUUUCUUCCUUCAACAAAUGUGUGUGUAGACCAGAUUCUUUCCAGGCACAGAGCUGGGCGCUGGUGAUGCAGGAAAGCGCCUCCUUGACAGCGCUCUCCGUGGGGUCAUGGACACAGCACAGAUGAUUGCGUUGGAGGGCGGGUGCCCGCUGGAGAGCUGUCACCACGUGGGCUUUGGGAUUGAUCCCACCAGAGGGCAGAGGCUGCUGGAUGUUUCAGCUGAGUCUGACAGCAUCCGGCUGGAACAGGAGCUUCAGGACAGCUGGACCCUGUCUGUCUUGCUCCCCGCUGUUAUCCCAGCACUGGAUUCUGUGUUGCAGGAUGAACAGCAUGCAGAUGGCCAUUGUUUGCAUUUCUGGGCACCCCACUUCUAAAUGAAGGGGUAGAGACAAACUAGGACCUGUUCAGAGAAGGAUGACCAGGAAGACCCCACCGUGUUUGCAACGGUGGGCUGGGGGCAGUGUUCACCCUGGAGCUGGGCAGACCAGAACAGUGGUUGCUAAAUAUCUGAAGAGCUGUCCCAUGGAGAAGAGAUGUGGACCUGCUCCACAUGGCCCCAGGGCUAAAACUGGGGCUGAGAAUGGGAGCUGCAGGUUCUGGACUGUAACUCAGCAGGACAAUGUUCCUCCAUGGUAGGGCGACCCAAGGACUCUGUGGCUGCCUCCGGACAUGGUGGAUGGAGGUGUUCAGGUGGACACUAGGAAAUCAUUUGAGAGGGGCUUGUGGAGGAGAUUCAUCUAUACCAUGGGGGCUCAGCUGGAUGGACACUGAUGUUCUCUCCUUUUCUGAUGUUCAAUGGUUCUCUAACUUGAGAAUCAUUUUCAAAGAUGAGUCUAAAGAUCCUUGUCUUAUUGGAAAUAACGAGCGUGAUGGACUUCACAUUUGUGUCCCCUCAAAAUUCAUUUGUUGAAAUCUAACAACAUAUGAAUGUUUCUCUGGGAAACAGACCGUGAGACAGAGCAGGGGAGGCCACGUGAAAUGGAGGCAGAGACUAGAGUGAUGCUCCUACAAGCCAAGGAUUGCUGACUGCCACUGGAGGCUAGAGAGGCAUGGACAAGCUUCUCCCUCAGAGCAUCCGGCAGGAACCAACCCUGCCAACACCUUCGGUCCAGACUUCUGGCCUCAAGAACUGUGAGAGGAUA